rnacentral:rRNA from 1 species
GCCAUGCAUGGUCUANGUACAGAGACUCGUAUUCUAAAACCGCGGAUGGCUCAUUAUAACAGCUAUGAUUUGAGGGAAAUAAACUUUGUUUGCUACAAGAUAACUGNGGUAAUUCUAGAGCUAAUAUUUUUAANAAUGCUGUGACUUCGGAAGCAGCGGAUUUAUUANAUCAAAACUAACCUGUCUGCAAAGGCAGUUAAUUGAUGACUCUGGAUAACUUUNCUGAUCGAACNACCUUGUGUUGACNACAAAUCUCUUGAANUGGCUGACCUAUCAACUUUCGAUGGUAAGAUCAAAGCUUACCNUGGUUGUAACGGGUAACGGGGAAUCAGUGUUCGAUUCCGGAGAGGGANCCUGAGAAACGGCUACCACNUCCACGGAAGGCAGCNGGCGCGUAAAUUACCCAAUACCGGCUCGGUGAGGUAGUGACAAAAAAUAACAAUAUGGGCCCUAGUGGUUUCAUAAUUGCAAUGAGAAUAUUUUAAAUACUUUAUCAAGUAUCAAUUGGAGGGCAAGUCUGGUGCCAGCAGCCGCGGUAAUUCCAGCUCCAAAAGCGUAUAUUAAAGUUGUUGCAGUUAAAAAGCUCGUAGUUGAAAUUUAGGAUUCUAGAUUCUUUUCUAUCUUAUGAUUGAAAUAAAUUUAGUCCUUUUGUGUCGUGUAUAUUAAUUAGUUACUUUAUUGUAUCUGGUUAAUAACCGGCUAGUUUACUUUGAAAAAAUUAGAGUGCUUAAAGCAGGCUUAUGCUUGUAUAUUGUUGCAUGGAAUAAUAAAAUAGGACUUCGGUUUUAUUUUGUUGGUUUUCGAAACUGAAGUAAUGAUUAAAAGAGACUGCCGGGGGCAUGUGUAUGCUGGUGUUAGAGGUGAAAUUCUUAGAUCAUCAGCAGACAAACUACUGCGAAAGCAUUUGCCAAGAAUGUUUUCAUUAAUCAAGAACGAAAGUCAGAGGAUCGAAGACGAUCAGAUACCGUCCUAGUUCUGACCAUAAACUAUGCCAACUGACAGUUAGCUAAGGUAUAUUCAUAUCCUUGCUAGAAGUCACCGGGAAACCAAAGUCUAUGGGUUCCGGGGGAAGUAUGGUUGCAAAGCUGAAACUUAAAGGAAUUGACGGAAGGGCACCACAAGGAGUGGAGCCUGCGGCUUAAUUUGACUCAACACGGGAAAUCUCACCCGGUCCGGACACUGUGAGGAUUGACAGAUUGAUAGCUCUUUCUUGAUUCGGUGGGUGGUGGUGCACUGGCCGUUCUUAGUUGGUGGAGCGAUUUGUCUGGUUAAUUCCGAUAACGAACGAGACUCGAGCCUGCUAAAAUAGUGGAUCUGUGUUAAAUCGCAGAUUCUUCACUUCUUAGAGGAAUAAAUAGCGUUUAGCUAANUGAAAAUGAGCAAUAACNGGUCUGUGANGCCCUUANAUGUCCGGGGCCGCCCGCGCGCUACAAUGUCAGUAACAACGAGUAUUUUUCCAAACCAAAAUGNUAAAGGCNUCUGUUGAACACUGNCGUAUCNGGAAAAGGGUUUGAAAAUUUUNCCCCUUGAACGAGGAAUUCCUA